rnacentral:rRNA from 1 species
GCAAGUCGAGCGGGCGUAGCAAUACGUCAGCGGCAGACGGGUGAGUAACGCGUGGGAACGUACCUUUUGGUUCGGAACAACACAGGGAAACUUGUGCUAAUACCGGAUAAGCCCUUACGGGGAAAGAUUUAUCGCCGAAAGAUCGGCCCGCGUCUGAUUAGCUAGUUGGUAGGGUAAUGGCCUACCAAGGCGACGAUCAGUAGCUGGUCUGAGAGGAUGAUCAGCCACAUUGGGACUGAGACACGGCCCAAACUCCUACGGGAGGCAGCAGUGGGGAAUAUUGGACAAUGGGGGCAACCCUGAUCCAGCCAUGCCGCGUGAGUGAUGAAGGCCCUAGGGUUGUAAAGCUCUUUUGUGCGGGAAGAUAAUGACGGUACCGCAAGAAUAAGCCCCGGCUAACUUCGUGCCAGCAGCCGCGGUAAUACGAAGGGGGCUAGCGUUGCUCGGAAUCACUGGGCGUAAAGGGUGCGUAGGCGGGUUUUUAAGUCAGGGGUGAAAUCCUGGAGCUCAACUCCAGAACUGCCUUUGAUACUGAAGAUCUUGAGUCCGGGAGAGGUGAGUGGAACUGCGAGUGUAGAGGUGAAAUUCGUAGAUAUUCGCAAGAACACCAGUGGCGAAGGCGGCUCACUG